rnacentral:lncRNA from 1 species
AUGCUGAGGUCUUACACAGCUCAGCACUUGAGUUUGGGGUCAGGCCACAUUCAGCAAACAUCGGUGGUGCCACUAACAAAUUCACCUUUGGAAAUAACCAUCAUGGCCUUGAUUCCUUGCCCUCCAGAGAGCAGAUACUCCUUCACUGGGGUGAGUCAUCAGGAGAAUAGAGACCUGGCCCUCCCAGAACAGAGUGAAGCUGACCAGGGGAAUCUUAGCCAAGAGCUUAGAAGGGUAGAAGGAAAAUUAUGUUUCCUCCUCUAAUUUGGUGACUAUGAUGGGACCUACUGAGACACCCUACAGGCUCUGAAUCCUUUAUAUGGGAUCCUGGAAACUGGCAGGAGUCAGCUAAAGGUAAGAAUUCUUACCAAAGUUAGCUCUCCUGGAUCUCUGUAAUGCUUAUUAAGAAAAGAGGGUAAAAGCUCUGUGUUGUCUCUUAUUCUCCAAAUUCAGAUUAGCAGGAGAAAAACAUUUGUGAGAAUUUAUUCUUUAUGUUGUGACUGGUUAAAAUUUGGUUUUGGGUAUCCAUUGGUUAUUGGUUCUCUUUCCCUCUAAGGAACAACUAUUAUUUUCCUGUUUGCCUUGUUGUAUGUUCUGAGAACUUGGUUUGGCUUUCCACCUGCCUGGGGCAUGCAGGUUGUUGGUUUGGCCUGUAUAGGCAGCUCAGCUAUCGCCAGGUUGGGGGCCCUAAAAAUAUUGCCAGACAGAAAUGUGGGUUGCACAUCAUUUGCAGUUACUGUCUUACUGACCGUUGCCAGCUCUUAGGGGAACUAAGUCUUUCUUUUGACUGUCUCUAGGAAUGGGUCUGGAUCUUGGGAGAACUGUAUCUCUUGUACCCUCUUUGGGGAUGCUUCCUGAGUCAGUAGUUAAAUCAUAAAAGGUUUACUGGUUUUGGCUGAGUCAUUUGGGGUAUGUCUUGGUUUAAAAGAAAAAGGAGGGGGAAAGGACUUCAAUACUGCCAAUACUGUAUUUGUUUGUCCUCACUGAAUCUUAACAAGGUGUUUGAAAAGAUUGUUUUAAGGAGCUCUAUAGUCUGAAAUUGUCCAAAUUGAAGGCUAAUAUUCAGAGCCUGAUUGGAACAUUUCUUAAAGGCCUUCUCUUCUAAGCUAAAACAAAACUAUAUACUCAUAGGAGAUAAAAAAUCCCAAAAAUUUUGUAGAGGGAUUUGUCAAAACAUUCCAGAGACACAUAGCUCUAAAUCUAUAACCUAGGAAUCUUUCAGAAUUUCUUAGUUGGAUAUCUUCUCCCUGAUAUAAAGAAGCAAAGAGAAAAAAGUGUGUUUGAAAGAGUAGGUCAGCUCUUUAGUAUUAUUUAAACUGUAAUCCUAUUCUUUGAGGAUUAAAAACAACUGUCCUUAUCUUACAACUGAGUCUUUAUAUAACCAGAAAUGUGGCUCUAGAAACAAUUCAAAGUCCUCCUAGGCUUACCAACCCCAAACUUCUAUUAAUCUCAAAAUGUAAAUGUUUUAAAAAGAUCAGGACAGUGGAAAUGGAACUUUCUUACAGUUAAAAAAAAAAGAAAACUUUAAAUAGUAAUUACCAUAGAUCUCUGAUAGUAGAUAAAUAUACCCCAAAGCCCCCAAGAGAAAACAUAGUCAUCCUCUGUCCCUUGAAGAUGUUAAGUUUUACUAUGUCUUUGAAAUGUAAACAUUCCAAGAGAUAACUGAAACACCGCCUGAAAUUGCCUGAGACUGAAGGGGAUAAAAAG